UAAGUGGUGGAAUCAGGAUUUGGAUAUAGGCAGUUUUGUUAAUCUAUUAUUUUAGAUCAGAUCUUAAGCUGGCUUAGUGAAGCUAAUCCAGGAUAGGAAUAACCUCUUUAGCAGACUUUGUACUAAACUAGAUAUACUGGGCUCAAGAUUAAUUUCUCUCCCUUGGAAAUAAAAUACUGGAUUCUACCUGUCAUAUCUGAAGUGCAUUGUUUUGAAGUACCAUCUUGGAUCAAGUUAAUAGGGUUGGAAUGGGCACUUCAGCUACUAGAAAGCAAUCCUGCCACUUAUGUUGAAACAGUAUUUUGGUGCUCUAGUCAAAUGCACAAACGAUUUAAGGGGUUAAGGAGGAUUAUUUUAGAUGAAGAAUAUGCAAAAGGAAUCUAAUACCAUUCUCACCUCUUGAAUUUGCAUUGUUUUUUUAUAAGACCAUUAUUUACAGUCAGGAGUUUUAUGGUAAUUGUACCUUCCAUUGAGGCUCAAAAUGGCCUCUUCAGCCAGCUCAUAAUAAGGUAAUGAACUGGAGAGGAAGAGUAAGAAAGGAGUGUGUUGAAAGAGCAAGUUCAGAUGAGAAGCAGUGAUGUUGUGGCCCAUAAAUAUUCAUCCAGAAAAUUUCUUGGGUGUAUUGAGCUGUAGAUGAGCAACUUACAUUGAAUUAUAUAUACGUAUAUAAUUUUUUUUUUAAUGGCUACCCCUGCAGCAUAAGGACAUUCCUGGGCCAGGGUUUGAAUCGGAGCUAAAGCUAUAGGCCUAUGCCACAGCCACAGCAACACUCCACCCGAGCCACGUUUGUGAUCUAUGCUGAAGCUUGCGGCAAUGCCGGAUCCUUAAUCCACUGAGUGAGGCCAGGGAUUGAACCCACAUCGUCACAGAGGUGAUGUUGGGUCCUUAACCUGCUGAGCCACAACAGAAAAUCCUAGAUUUAUUAUUUUGUUCAUUGAAAUAUGUCAUUUCAUUUCCUGUAGCCUCAAAACUCUUUUCUUGGAGUGUCCUUGAAGCCCUUUGACCUGCUUUCUCUGUGGAGACAGUCUGACCACUGUUAGCCUCAACUUCCCUAUAUUUCGGUUUUCAAUAAGCUCCCAAUCGUAGCCACUGCGUGCUAGGUAAAAUAUGUGAAAUGGAAAAGGAUGAAACUUUGAGAAUGUAUUUGUUAACAGUGAAAAUAGGAUUCACACUUUUCAGUCCUGAUACACUUUUUCAUCAUGGGGAUCUGUAAACGUAAUGUUCUCCUUUUAAUACAGAAGGAGAAAGCACUCUGAUGGAACCCUGCCUUCCAUUUUGGAUCCAUCAUCACCCACUGAUACUUAAACUUCAGUUUCGCCAUAAAAUGUGAUAGUAUUAAGAGUCAUUCCAAAAGGAUAAAUUUUGAUAAUAUAGAGCUCUGUGAACUGUGAUUGGGUUGCUCCCCCCAUAUAUGUGUGAGUGUGUGUGUGUGUAUAAAUAUAUAAUGAAAAAUUCCAGAGAAUAUAAAAUUUGACUUGUUCUUAACACCUUGCUUAAUGUGUAGUAUGAAGAAUGUUUUUAAAUUGAGCCUUUUGCAUUUGUAACCUAUCUUAGAUGCUUUACUGAAAACCUAAAGUUAGUUAACAUGUUUUUUCCUCAGUGCUCCUAUAAUUGAUGAGCAGAGCAGACUUCUGCUGGAAAAUAUAAGGGACACAUGACAUCGUUUUAGCCUCAUGCCCUGACUGGAGAUAUUUUCUCUCAGUCCUAGUUUUCACUUUCUCCAGAGUAAGUCACCACUUAUGAAUCACGCUGAGGUGAAAGGUCUAAAUUCCCUACUGUACAAUCCAAACAUUACACCUUAGUAAUUCUCCUUACAGGGUCUUGCCCCAACCCCCAGCUUACCUUUGUUUUUCAGGUUUUGUUCACUAAACCCCAUAUCUAAAUAUUCUAGACUGUGCUCACUCAGAAGCUCAUAUCUUUUCUUUCCUUGGCUUCUGAGACAACCAGAGGGGAUAUGCUAGUCUUGUUUCUCUGUAGUGUUGUAUGUUGAUUUCCAUGUAUGUUUCAGACCAUUGAGCCCUCCUGUUUUGGAGGUCCAAAGUCAGAUUUCCCUGGAACAUAUGUAUCUUGUUAGCAAUGUUAUGACAAAUAGCAGCAGCUGUAUAAACUAAUCUUUCUGUAACUUCACACAGGGGACUCAAUUAACAAUGGACCACUGUCAGCAUUUAAUCCUUUUUACCUCUUGGUUCCUGUGAACUUUUCUAUUAGAUAUCAAGAGUAUUCUUACCCAUAAACAGAAGACAUCAAAUAGUUCAAAUCAGUUGAACUUUCCUUGGUGUUCUCUAAGGUGAUUUGGAAAAGGGCUGGCAAUUAUAAUGAUUCCUUUAUUGGUCCUGAUAGAAAGACAUACUGGUCUCAUGAGGAUGGUUGUGACAGAAUUGAGGAUUCACUUUGCUUUGGAAUUGUUUCUGCAUUUAGCACCCAAGUCCAUGGUCUUGAGAAACUGACCUCUCAAGUUUAGAGUGACUAUGGUAUGAGCAGGGCAGCAAGGAAAUAACUUCUCCCAGAAAUAGUCACAGAGACAGACAUGUCUUUGUGAGCUGUCUGUCAUGUAGCAGUCUACUUUUGUGUGUGAUAAUUUGAAGUCCUGAGAAACCGAAAUCUCAAGUGACCUUUUACCUCUUUCUGUAAUUUUUAUCUUUGUUUCUUUGUCAGAAAAAAAGGAGGGCAGGUUGGAUGGUUAAGUACAAUGGGAUAUUUGGAAAAGCAGAGUUAUGGCUUUAGGAUAAUAGUGAACGAAAGUUCAGUUUCCAGUUUAAAUGUACUUGACAUUUGAACCUUUGUUUGAAGCUCUUGUUUUAGGUCUAUCUGCAGAGGACAUCUGGAAUUCCUUUGGCUUCUAAUCUAUGGCAAGUGAACAGGAAUGGAUGACAAAGGGAUAUAAAGAUAGAGCUCAAACAAGUUGUUGUUAAUUCUUUCUUUCACCUAUGAGGACUAAUGAAAAGCUUAAAUUACUAAAUUCAGACUGGACCAUUGUCGCUACUUGCCAAACUGUACAUGCUUGUACCAAACCUUGUGUAUUACACUUGUUUGGGGGGAAUCAAGGACUUUCAAAAUUCUGAAUUAUAGAAGGCAAAAAUUAAAGCUGAUUAUUGGACAAUUAUGUUCUCUUUUAAUUUGAAGAUAAGUACAAACUUAUUACUUAAAAAUAACUCCCUAAAACACAACAUAUAAAAUAGUUUGCCCUUUAAGAAGUUUAAAACAUCUUUUCUUUUUUUUUUUUUUUUUUUUUUUUUUUGCUUUUAAGGCCCGAACCUGUGGAAGUUGCAAGGCUAGGGAUCAAAUCAGAGCUACAGCUUCCAGCCUGUGCCACAGCCACAGCAAUGUGGGAUCUGAGCCACAUCUGUGGCUUACACCACAGCUCAUGGGAAUGCUGGAUCCCCGACCCACUGAGUGAGGCCAGGGAUCGAACCUGCAUCCUUAAGGGUAAUAGUUGUGUUUGUUACCACUACACCACAACGCAAACUCCCAUCUUAUUUGUUUUUAAAAUGUGUUUUGAGUUUCUUUUUUUUUUGCAAAUGAGUUAAAGGUAAUAACUCAUUAUAAGGAAAAAAAUUCUUCAUAGAACCAUAAAGAAUUUUCCUAAAUUGAUAGAUUAUUCGUUUCCAAGCUUUUUACAAAAGUAUUUUUCCUUUGCCAGGUUUCUACUUGAUAUAGAAAUGAUAUACUUUUUUUUUUUUAUCUUUUCUAGGGCUGCAUCCACGGCAUAUAGAGGUUACCAGGCUAGGAGUCCAGUCAGAGCUGUAGCCACCAGCCUACGCCAGAGCCACAGCAACGCGGGAUCCGAGCCACGUCUGUGACCUACACCACAGCUCACGGCAAUGCCGGAUCCUUAACCCACUGAGCGAGGCCAGGGAUCAAACCUGCAAUUUCAUGGUUUCUAGUCAGAUUCAUUAACCACUGCACCACAACGGGAACUCCCAGAAAUGAUAUACUUUUAAACAAAGAAUAUAAUAUUAAUUUAAUCCAGAAUACUUGAAGAUAUUUAGAACAUAACUGCAUAGAGUUAUAACAAGACAGAUAUGGAAGACAAACAGUCCAUCAGAAAGAAGUCUUUGGUAUGGUCCGCUUUCCCUUGCAUGAAUAUUAUUAUUUUUUUUUAAAGUCAAGUGCUUUUAUAUAUAACAUUUUAUUUCAACAUCCCAGUUUCUCUUAUAAGAUAGACAUUAUUAUUCCUCAUUUAAAGAUGCAGAAAUUAGAGCUCAAAGAGUUUAAAAGAAGCUGCCCAAAGUCACACAGCAAGGAGGUGGCAAAAGCGAGAGUAAUCUGAAGUCUGGUUGACUCCAAAAUAACUCCCUGGACACUAAACCUUGACCUUCGAGAAGGGAGGCAAAUAUUACAGAUCCAUCUCCUUUAUCCCUUGAAUUGCAAGCCACGCUGCUCUGAAGGUAACUGCAUGUGGAUUGUGUUAAUGUAUUUCCUUAUUGUGGAGUUUAAGUUAUGUUUUAUGAGUUAUACUUUUGUCAUUUGUUUAUGGUAUCAUACUUAAUAUUUAUCUCAGUUGGGUGAGAUAGAUAAUGUCCCCAUUUUAUAGUCAAGAACCAUUAAGCAGUUGAGAGCUGGGCUGAAGUGUGGAAUCCUUCCUCAACUGUUUUUCCCAUUACAUUUUAAAUAGCUCCAAUCCAAGAAAAAGCCUUGCUUCACUUUUGAUCUCAUAUCCAAAAGUUGAGUAAGGUAAACAUAAUUUUUUUUUUGCUUAAUUAAAAAAAGUGAAUCUGCAAUACAUGACCAUGUAAUUCUUUGUAAGCAUCUUCUCAGAUGAUGGGCACAGAUUAGUAAUUGGUUGAGCUAUGGUAUGCGCUCAUUUUUGGUUGCGAGUUUUUUUCCUUCUCCUUAUAUGCAGUGCCAUUUGAGAAUUGCCCUGGAAAGGUGCUAUUUUCUCUCUUUCUGCAGACUUUUAUAUCAGUUUCUUAGUGUGCAAUGUAGAAGAAUAUCACUCUCAUGACCUUUCAGGUAAAUAGGCACAAUGAAGCAGCUAAGAUGCUGAGGACUGCGUAAUGGGGUUUUCACUUACACACAUGGUUGUAAUUCCUCAAGGUAAUGCUGGUGGAUGGGAUGAUUCAGGAGGUAGUCAUGAAAGUCUUCCUUGCCUGGCAGGGUUUCCGCACCAUAGUUCCGUAUCCUUUUUCCUCAUGGUUUACUCCAACUGCACUGAUAUCCUUUUACUAUUUCUCUUACUAUGACUUUGAGAUUGACAGUUACCCCCAAACCAUUUUGAAUCCAAGUGUGUUCCAUGAUUAGAGGAGGUGAAUGUUGAUUGAUAAAGAAGUGGACAUGAGAUAACCAGAAAGGUAAUGAACUAUGGAUUAUUCUUUUAAAUGUGUGAUACAGGUUGAGAAUUCCCAGACCUUGGUGCAUGUGGGGAGGCGAUUUUGGCCUACUCCAUGUAAAACUCUCUUCAGAAGGACAAAUGGCUCUGUUCACUAGUUGGACAGAUUGAGGCAGGGACAAAUUAAGAACUUUUAGUGAUGGUUCAUCCACUGGAUUUUAUCAUAGAUUUUUUUUUAUCAGUUUAAUGGUCUGGGGCAGUUGAUUUGACUUUUUCUUGAAAUAAAUCAACAACAAAAAAAGAACUUCACUCUCUCUUAUUUGUUGCCUAAACAAUGUUUCCAAAAGUUAAUUGACUGUCUCCAGUACAGCUGAUUUGAUUGUCUCAAGAAAUCAGUUAGUUUUGCUAAAAAACAGAUAUAACUCCUCUACCUCUUGUCUGGUGCUUAUACAAUGUUUCCAGAAGAUCAUUAUCCUUCAGCAUGCUAUCAGUAUGGAGAAGGCCCAUUUUUUUUAAAAAAAGAUAAUGCUCCCUCUCUUUCGUGAAUUUCAGCCUAUUUAGACUUGGUUCUUAUGCCUCACAUUGAAUACUUGUUCUAGAGAAAUGUGAUCCCAGGAAUGCUGGUGGUUUGCUGUGUGUUAAAAUGGUGCUAUGCUUUAGGUUUCUGUUCCAAUCUAAGAUUUCAGAAGAGUCAGUAACUGCAAAUAAUCUAAAAGGGGAAGAGUGAAGAAUGCUUCUAACUUCCCUUUGAAAUGAAUAGCUCUGCCAGAGCAGCAGCUAUUAGAAAAACAAAAACGACAAAGAAAAGCUGCUCGGCUCAGCACACAGAGGUAAAUUUACUUACAUCAGACUGAAAAAUGAGGGCUGGGCUUUGAAAAGACAUCCCUUCUGACUAGAGGAGAGCUUGUAAUUUUGGCAUGGCUGCAGCCCUCCUAAACCCCUGAGAAAUUCUGAAAAACAUUACAGAAGACUGUUCUUAAUAUUAAUGGAUGUCUUCGCGUGCGUGUGUGUGUGUGUGUGUGUGUGUGUGUUUGUGUAUCUAUGCAUUCGGAAAGAAAAAUGCCAGCCAGAGAAGAGGGGAAGAAUGAGAGAAGAACGGAUUAUGUAGGUUGAAGAUCUACCACUGAAAAUGUCUAAUUUCUGACGAAUCAUUGGCAUUCGUCAUUCUCUACUCUUCAGCCAAUAGAGUAGCUCAAGAUGAGAUUGAGAGGAACACCCGCCAUUCAGACACUCUUAAGUUAUUAGCCUUCCAAUAAUGCGGCCCUCUUAACAAACUCUUCCUAAAAUACUUUGUUUGUAGAUAACACAGCUCACUGAUAUAAUCUAAGAUCAUGGUCUUAUCUAUUAUAUGACAUCAGAGGUGAAAAAAAGACCGUUUUCCCAUGGCUAAUUGUGGCAAGUGUGGCAUCAUGUUGUACUCUUAGUGAACAAUUUCAGGGCCACCAAGAGCCUACUGCUCUGCCUCUUGGGAGGGGACUUUUCCUUUGCAGCUCAGCUUCAGGAAACACGAACAUUUGUGUUUUCGAGACCACAUACCAUUGGGAAGGAAGUUGGGGUGGAGAUGCGUGCUGAGAUUAAGUGGCUACGAGAAUCCCUGGACUGUGUCUGAUCUGGAAACCACUAGGGCUUGUGCAGUCCUCUUUCUGGCAUGCCUUUAGAACUUGCCAAGUGCACAACAGGGCCACUAAGGAUAUUGUUCACCAAAUAACAUAUGGAGAAUUCCUGUUGUUGUGCAGCAGAAACAAAUCUGACUGGUAUCUUUGAGGAUAUGGGUUCGAUCCCUGGCUUCCUCCGUGGGUCGGGGUCCGGCCUUGCCUUGAGCUGUGAUGAGGUCACAGACACGGCUUGGAUCCCAUGUUGCUGUGGCUGUGGUGUAGCCCAGCAGCUGUAGCUCCGAUUUGACCCCUAGCCUGGGAAUUUCCAUAUGCC
rnacentral:lncRNA from 1 species